rnacentral:rRNA from 1 species
AACGAACGCUGGCGGCAUGCCUAACACAUGCAAGUCGAACGAGACCUUCGGGUCUAUUGGCGCACGGGUGCGUAACGCGUGGGAACCUGCCCUUAGGUUCGGAAUAACUCCCCGAAAGGGGUGCUAAUACCGGAUAAUGUCUUCGGACCAAAGAUGUAUCGCCUUUGGAUGGGCCCGCGUUGGAUUAGCUGGUUGGUAGGGUAAAAGCCUACCAAGGCGACGAUCCAUAGCUGGUCUGAGAGGAUGAUCAGCCACACUGGGACUGAGACACGGCCCAGACUCCUACGGGAGGGAGCAGUGGUGAAUAUUGGACAAUGGGCGAAAGCCUGAUCCAGCAAGGCCGCGUGAGUGAUGAAGGCCUUAGGGUUGUAAAGCUCUUUUACCCGGGAUGAUAAUGACAGUACCGGGAGAAUAAGCUCCGGCUAACUCCGU